rnacentral:rRNA from 1 species
CACCGCCCGUCACAUCACGAAAGUGGAUUGUACUAGAAGCCUGCGCGCCGACCCGCAAGGGGGGUAGCGGUCCAAGGUAUGAUUCAUGAUUGGGGGUG